CCCCAGAGAGAAACCUGGAUGUAUUGCUUGUGCAGCUGCUGCUGUUGUUGUUACAAUUGCAAUUGUUAUUAUUGCAAUAAUGCAUUAAUGGAAGCACAUCACUGAGAUGACUUGUAAUAUAAUUUUCAGAGAAGUGCCUCUGUUUCAUAUUAUACUGAACCCACGGGUUUUAUAUAUAUAUAUAUAUAUAUAUUAAUGGGAGGUUGAACGUGUUUCUUUAAUAUUGACUUAUGAAAGGCAUAUGAUACACAUG